ensembl:lncRNA
CCAGGGGCGGGGUCUAGUGUGCCAAUAUGGCAGCCCCCAUGUGACCGCGGAUGUUGGCCGUGCGGAGGGCAGCGCUGGGAGUGGCGCGUGUCUGAGCUCCAGCCUCCCACUCUCCCGUCGCCUCCACCUCCCGCUGGCCCUGGCCUCGCUUGUCCAUCGCCUCGCCUCUCCCUGCCCCAGAGGGCGAGAGUCAGGUUGCUGCUUCCCCCAGAUCUCCGUGCCCUCAGCCCCCAGUUUCACAUUUGUCUCCAAGGCCCGUUUCUUCUACCUCAGUAGUGGCUCUGGCCUGUGUCCUCUUCUCACUUCCAUCGGGCCCCUUCAGGGCAGGUUCAGUCCAUGCUGAGCACAGGGAACCCAUGGGCUUCUCCGCCCAUGUUGCUCCGUCAGCACCUCCCCCCAUCCCUGUGAUGGCACCACCUCUCAGCUGUCCUCUGGUCUCUGCAACUCUCCCUUCUCGCCUCUCCAUGGACCCCCUGUUCUAACAUCCUCACCUCUUCUCUGCCCAUGACUCUCUUGAUGAUGUCGCAUCUUUCUCACGGCACAGGCUGAAACUUAGGGGCCACCAACUACCCCAGGAGGUGCUCUCUUCCAUCAUGGGUGGGUCUGCAGCAGUGUUCCUGCAGUACCUUAAAUUCAGCAGGUCCCCAGUAGAUCCUGCAGUUGCUGCCCGAUAAACCUGACCCCCUUCUCCAGGCACUGCUUCUGCCCAGUCACCCAAACCAGAAACCUGGAGCCUGUUUCCCCUUCCUCUUCUCCCCAACACCCAUUCUAGCCCCAAGGCUGACUGUGCUUUGAAGAGAAGAGCCUUGACUUCAUCCUCUUCUUCAUCCCCAGCAUCACCAGUCCAGCUCACACCUCAUUCUUCCUCCCCAGGAUGCCUGUGAGGCCCCUUGCUUCCACUCGCUGAGUUGUUCACAGGCACUUAGGUGUCUUCUCCAUGACCAGUCCAUGCUGAGCACAGGGAACCCAGGAGAGAGCUGAGCACGGCUGACCCGCCUGUGCCUGGGUCAGCUGGGAUCCAGAGGUGAAUAUUCUAUGCCAGGGGAUGCAGUGACCUCCCCUGCCCCAUGGACAUCCCCAACAAGUCUGCCUAACCUCACAUAUGUCUUUAUCAAGAUUGAUGGCAAAACCAAGAAUAUUUCUGUCUCAAAAAUGUUCAGAAGAAAAACAACUUAGCUUCCAUUGAAUACCACCUGAAUUACUGGUCAUUCUUGGCUUUGUUAAAAGUGGAACAACCAGGUACCACAAACAUCAAGAUUCGAUAUGGUAAGACGUCCAUAUCAUCACCUACUCAAUGUUCUCCAAAAAAUUGAACCUGAAAGCAACUCAGCCUCUAGUCCUAAUUGCAACCUGCAGGAAACGUGGGGAGAGAGGAACAAGCUAAAUGACACAGCAAGGACACGGGUCUCCAUGACGAUAGAGGAGCAGAGACCCCAGGCCUGUGAGCCUCGCGUCACCUCCCCAAGCUGGAAACACAGAUGGAGCCUCAGGUCCCUGGAAAGACAGAGGCUCAGCCAGCAGCUGCCACCUGAGACAGUCUCCACUCAGCUGACAUUGACAAAGGCCUCAGUAAUAUGCAGACUGGAACCCAUUAACUUGAUCUUUCUCCACUUGGUAAUUUUUUAACAGCUUUAUAGAGGCAUAACUCACAUACCAUAAAAUUCACCUAUUUUAAGAAUGCAACUUAAUGACUUUUCACCAGUCGACAGUCGUGCAGCAAUCCGACGCUAGAACAUUCCCCUGGCCCCAAGGGACCCCUCCUGCCCUCUGGCCAUCACCCCACCCCCACCACCACCCAGCCCCUGGCAACCGCUAAUCUGCCUUCUGCCUCUCUGGCUUUGAAACUCUGAAUGUUUCAAAUAAAUGGAGUCCCUGCAAAACGUGAG